GAUGAACGCUGGCGGCGUGCCUAAUACAUGCAAGUCGAGCGAACAGACGAGGAGCUUGCUCCUCUGACGUUAGCGGCGGACGGGUGAGUAACACGUGGAUAACCUACCUAUAAGACUGGGAUAACUUCGGGAAACCGGAGCUAAUACCGGAUAAUAUAUUGAACCGCAUGGUUCAAUAGUGAAAGACGGUUUUGCUGUCACUUAUAGAUGGAUCCGCGCCGCAUUAGCUAGUUGGUAAGGUAACGGCUUACCAAGGCAACGAUGCGUAGCCGACCUGAGAGGGUGAUCGGCCACACUGGAACUGAGACACGGUCCAGACUCCUACGGGAGGCAGCAGUAGGGAAUCUUCCGCAAUGGGCGAAAGCUUGACGGAGCAACGCCGCGUGAGUGAUGAAGGUCUUCGGAUCGUACAACUCUGUUAUUAGGGAAGAACAAAUGUGUAAGUAACUAUGCACGUCUUGACGGUACCUAAUCAGAAAGCCACGGCUAACUACGUG
rnacentral:rRNA from 1 species